rnacentral:tRNA from 1 species
CCCUAAGAAGCUAAUAUGAGCAUUGGCCUUUUAAGCCAAAAACGGGCACACCUCGUACCCCUUAGGGC